CCUACGGGAGGCAGCAGUGAGGAAUAUUGGUCAAUGGGAGAGAUCCUGAACCAGCCAAGCCGCGUGAGGGAAGACGGCCCUAUGGGUUGUAAACCUCUUUUGUCGGAGAACAAAACCCGGGACGUGUCCCGGACUGCGUGUAUCCGAAGAAAAAGCAUCGGCUAACUCCGUGCCAGCAGCCGCGGUAAUACGGAGGAUGCGAGAGUUAUCCGGAUUUAUUGGGUUUAAAGGGUGCGUAGGCGGUCCGUUAAGUCAGCGGUAAAAUGGCGGGGCUCAACCCCGUCGAGCCGUUGAAACUGGCAGACUUGAGUUGGCGAGAAGUACGCGGAAUGCGCGGUGUAGCGGUGAAAUGCAUAGAUAUCGCGCAGAACUCCGAUUGCGAAGGCAGCGUACCGGCGCCAGACUGACGCUGAGGCACGAAAGCGUGGGGAUCGAACAGGAUUAGAUACCCCAGUAGUC
rnacentral:rRNA from 1 species